rnacentral:rRNA from 1 species
UACGAAGGGGGCGAGCGUUGGUCGGAAUAACUGGGCGUAAAGGGCACGCAGGCGGGUGUUUAAGUGAGAGGUGAAACCCCCGGGCUUAACCUGGGAAUAGCAUUUCAGACUGGGAGUCUAGAGUACUUUAGGGAGGGGUAGAAUUGCACGUGUAGAGGUGAAAUGCGUAGAGAUGUGGAGGAAUACCGAAGGCGAAGGCAGCUCCUUGG